ACAGCUGACCUUUCAGUUAGCAGCUGAGCACUUAACCACUGUGCCACCAGGGCUUCUUCCACAAGUAUGGAUUUUAUUACAUAUUUUGGGGGACAUAAUCCAUAACACUAGCUUUACCUGAAUUUCUAAAAACCAAGGGAUGUGGUGAUUUAUCCUUCGUUUGGACAAGAUGCACCAGCCUGACCACAGCCUGACGCAGGGUGGUUAGCAAGCAGGAAGCCUCUUAGGGCUAGCUAAGCUUUUGCCGACGGCAGGAACAGAGUUCUGGGCUCCUCACGUUCCUUCAGCUCUGAAGGUUUAUUCUAAGGAUACGCGGGGAAGGAAGGGAGGACCUCUGGCAGUUUUACCAGCGGCACACAGGACUAAUUCCAACCUUUUGGAAAAAUGGACCAUCUUCCUACUAGAGAGAAAAACACCUUUCUUCUUCUUCAUUCCAUUUCCUCUCAGCCUCUUCCUCUACCAGGGGCCCAGGAAACUUUUCUGAAGGGAUAGAGGUGAGUCAUGAGAAGAGCUUAGUUAUCAGGUGGUGUAAUUUUUCUCUUUCCUCUCAAGUCCCUUUUUUGUCAGAAUAUCUGCCAACCUUUCCUUUUUUCCAUUAUCGCUAAUUACUAAUUCUUCAUCCAUAUGAUCUCCCCGGCUGGAACAUGAGUUCCAAGUGGGGACAAAACCACAGCAAGGGUAGAAAACCAGUAUAUUCUUUGCAUGAACAAAAAAACAAAACAAACCCGAUGCAGUUGAGUUGAUUACGACUGAUUGCAACCUAGACAGAGUAGAACUGACCCUUAGGGUUUCAAAGGAGGAGCUGGUGGAUUUGAACUGCUGACCUUUUUUGGUGAGCAGCCGAGUGCUUAACCACUGUGCCACCAGGGCUCCCUUUGUAUGAAAGGCAGCAUCAACUUCCUCUUCUUCCCCUUUUCCCCUCAGGUAAAACGAUAUUCCUAUUUUUCCAUCAAUGUAAAUACUCCCCACAAAUGUUCACAUCAUUUACUUGGCCCUCAAGACCUAUAAGUCUAUAAACCACCGAAGUCCAAGAAAAAAGGUGGUGGAAAACACUGGAUGUUACUGGUAUCUGUCACUGCUGUUAAGUAAUGGGACAGUUCUCGGGCAUCAGAAAUAAAUCUACAUUCAUGUUUGCUUCCUUGUCCAUUUUGAAAGAGAAGGUGAGCGAGCUUAUUAAAAACAAGUUAAGGAGGGUUCCCAGCUUAGAGGUAAACUGCGCUCACCUUCCGAUCCAAGUAUGUCUGCACGGCAGGAGAGAUCUGUUUCCGCAUGGGGCUGAGGAGCCUUCUCAGAAAGGAUUUUUGGCCUAAGACGUAUUUGUAAGAGGAGAGCAGUUUAUCUCAAGGAGGGAAGGAGCGUGCAAUGCCACUGCAAACUUUCACUUCAGGCUAUUUUCUAGCCAGAUCUUAGGCUUAUGGUGUGAGAAGAAAAAGCAAGCAAACAAGCUAUGUCUCUUGAAGCCUCGGGACAGGAAUGGCGGGGUGGCCCCUUGGGGACACUCAUCUUGGGACAGGCAUCAGCUGCAGCACCGUCGGUGCAUAAAAAUUUAAGUUCAAGUACAAUAAUAAAAACAAAAACCAAGACUUUUAAGACUGAUGUUUAUUCUAUAAAAUUGUUUACAACAGUAGGGUUUAAGAUGAAAAUAAAAAAGAUAUAAAUUUAUUGCAUAAAAACGCUGAAAACAUGGCUAUGUCCUUCCACAACCUGAUAAACCAUACAAGCAUCACGAACAACCCUUUUGAUUCAAAUUUUAGAUUUCAUUCAUUCAAUAAUUGUUUUCUGGACACCUUCUAUGUGCAAGGCACCAGAUGGUGAUAGCUGCUACAAAUCCAGUAAUGAAUAAAACAGAGUCCCUGCUCUCUGAAGCUUACAUUCUAGUGGGGCAGGGAGACAUACACCAAACAAAACAAACAUUCUACACGUCAAGUAGUCAUUGUGAUUACAGGGGGUGAGAAAACAAGGGAAAGCAUCUAUACAACCCCCAAGCUAGUAGCUCGGGAAGAUGUAAAUAAAAAACCAAACUAUACCCACGGCCUUCAAGUCGAUUCCGAUUCACAGUGACCCUAUAGGACAGAGCAGAACUUCCCCAUAGGGUUUCCAAGGCUGUAAUCUUUAAGGAAGCCGACCAGCCACAUCUUUAUUCUGUGGAGUAGCUGGUGAGUUCAAACUGCUGACCUUUUAGUUAGCAGUCAAGUGCUUUAACCACUGCACCACCAGGGCUCCUUUGGGAAAAUGAUACAAAUUCUCAAUCAUAUUUUAAAGUAAGUUUUAUAUGUCGCAAAUUUCUGGUCGGACUCUUAAAGUUCAUAGUUCAGAGCAGCACUUCUAAUUUUCUAAUUAGAAUCUAUACUAACAAGUACUUUAGGCCAUACUAA